AUUGAACGCUGGCGGCAGGCCUAACACAUGCAAGUCGAGCGGAUGAAGGGAGCUUGCUCCUGGAUUCAGCGGCGGACGGGUGAGUAAUGCCUAGGAAUCUGCCUGGUAGUGGGGGAUAACGUCCGGAAACGGGCGCUAAUACCGCAUACGUCCUGAGGGAGAAAGUGGGGGAUCUUCGGACCUCACGCUAUCAGAUGAGCCUAGGUCGGAUUAGCUAGUUGGUGGGGUAAAGGCCUACCAAGGCGACGAUCCGUAACUGGUCUGAGAGGAUGAUCAGUCACACUGGAACUGAGACACGGUCCAGACUCCUACGGGAGGCAGCAGUGGGGAAUAUUGGACAAUGGGCGAAAGCCUGAUCCAGCCAUGCCGCGUGCAGGAAGACAGCCCUCUGGGUCGUAAACUGCUUUUAUUCGGGAAUAAACCUUUCUACGUGUAGGAAGCUGAAUGUACCGAAGGAAUAAGGAUCGGCUAACUCCGUGCCAGCCGCCGCUGUAAU
rnacentral:rRNA from 1 species